AUUGCUAAACAGUCCCCCAAAACUCUCCGUUCUCUCUCUUCGGUUUCUCUUCAGAACCCUCGGGUUCCGACCAACCCGACCCGGAUCCAUCUCCCUCCUCCGGCGUCCUCCGGCCACGACCCGGCCCUCUCCGCACUCAGACCAAGCCGCCCGGUUGCCUGGUGAAGUCUCCUCGCCCCGCCGUCGCCCCCAGAGCUGGAUCGGAGGAGCCUCAGCCGUGCGAAACCCGACCCGGCCGGAAAACCACUUUUCCGGCGAUUCAUGGGCCGAUCCUCCCCACUUUCGUGAUCUCCUCUUCCUGCUGAUCAUUCCUAUACUCCCCUUUCAUGACGAUUUGGAGUGAAUAGCUCUAGAUCAAGCGUUGAAGAUUGAAGGGCUGUGAUUGAAUCUGGAAUCUGAUCGUGUGGCUGAGAUUAAUCCAAACUUCAAAGCUUGAUCUAGGACGAUCUAGGUCGAACCAGACUUAGCUCCAGGUGAUUGACAGUCUUCCUUGGUGAGCGGUUUGGCGUGUAUUGUGAAAUUGAAGACGCAGCGGGAUUAGAGCGGGUAGUCCUGCAGGUCAGGAGGAUCAUGGCGGAGAUCAUGCGGAUUAGAGUAAUUGUUUUUAGUUUUACAGCCUUGUAAAUUGUGAGGUG